rnacentral:rRNA from 1 species
AUUGAACGCUGGCGGCAUGCUUUACACAUGCAAGUCGAACGGUAACAGGCCGCAAGGUGCUGACGAGUGGCGAACGGGUGAGUAAUGCAUCGGAACGUGCCCAGUCGUGGGGGAUAACUACUCGAAAGAGUAGCUAAUACCGCAUACGAUCUAUGGAUGAAAGCGGGGGACCGUAAGGCCUCGCGCGAUUGGAGCGGCCGAUGUCAGAUUAGGUAGUUGGUGGGGUAAAGGCUCACCAAGCCAACGAUCCGUAGCUGGUCUGAGAGGACGACCAGCCACACUUGGACUGAGACCAGGCCCCAACUCCCACGGGAAGCAGCAGUUGGGAAUUUUUGACCAUUGGCGGAAGCCCGAUCCCGCAAUUCCGCGGGGAGGAAGAAAGCCUUCGGGUUUUAAACUGCCUUUGUUCGGGACGAAACGGGUCUUGUUAAUUCCCGGGGCUAAUGGAGGUACCGUAAGGAUAAGGCCCGGCUAACUUCGUU